AUUGCACCAAACCAAGUUUUUAUUCUCAAACUAGCAUUGAAGACUCAAAGUCACAAAAAUAUGUUUCAUUAAAGACGUAAAUAUACACUUAUACUUCUUGGAUUAAUUAAUUUAAACCUUAGGGUUUAGAAUUAAAGGGUGUAGUUUUAGAAUUAAGGUUUAAAAUUUUAUAAAAUAAAAAAUAGAUAUUAAAAAAUUAAAAAUAAAAAUUUAAAAACAGUUUCAAAAAUUAGUUUUGAAUUAUAAAAAGAAAAUUUGAAAAAAUAAUUAUAAAAAAUUUCGAAUCUGAAAACAUAAAAUCUAAACUAUAAAAAAAAAUUAUUUUUUCAUUUUUUUAGAGAAAAUGACUAGGAUAACACUAAAAAAGUUUUUGUCACAAAUAUAGCCUCUAAAAAUAAAAUGACCAAAAUAACACUUAAUAUUUUAUCAAAAGAGAUAAAUUUACAUUUAUACCCCAAUGGUAAAUUAAUUUAGACAGGUUUAGGAUUUAUAGUUUAGGGUUGAGAGUUUAGGUUUUAGGGUUUAGAGUUGGGAAGUGGGGUUUUGGAAUAAGAUUUCAAAUUUUGAAAAAUAAAAAAAAAAUAAAUUUUUCAAAAAAUAAAAUGCUAUUUUGGUCAUUUUAGUUUUUGAGAGCUAUUUUUGUGACAUAAACUUAGAAAUAUGCUAUUUUGGAGAUUUGCCUUUUUUUAUUUUUAUUUUAUUUAUUUUUGUUUGUUUAUUUAAUUUUAAACCAAGGGUAUUAGAGAUAUUUUACCAUUUAAUGAAUGUUAUUUACUUAUUUUUGUAACUUUCUCCUUCUAGUACCAUUUUUGAGACAAAAAUUCAAAAUGUGCUAUUAUUGACAAUUGCCCCUAAAAAAAUUAUCUAAAUAAAACUUUUUUUCUUAAAAGAGUCUAAAUAAAACUUGUUUUAAUCAUUUAUCUCUUCAUUUUUUCAACUGAGAUUAUAUUAGUAGAGACGGAAAGAGAUUUUGAGUUAGUAAAAGAGUCGAUUGGUUGAAAACCCAAAAAGAAGUUCAUAAUUAGGUAAAUGCCAUAACAGUAAAAGUUUACAGUCUACAGCACUAAAUGAGGGUUUAAAAUUAUGUUAAUCUCCUUGAUAUUGUCUCCUUCUUCUCUUACUUUCUUUCUCUCUCUAUUUACAAAAAGCAAAAGAGAAACACUUUCCGACUCGCUUUGUUUCUGUCGUGACGAAAAAAAUUCCAGAAAUUUCAAUGGGUUGUUGUCAAUCCAUGGGUCCGGGCGAACACCAGCCGCUUGAGAAAGAUGGAGCUCAACCGACGCAAGUGACUGAAAACCACCACGGCGGCGCUACGACGGCUGAUAACAGCGGCGGAGAUGGUGGUGUAGCUGGAGGAGGAGGAGGAGGAGGAGGGAUCCCGUCUUUCUCUGCGUUCUCUUUCUCCGACCUCAAAGCAGCUACAAACAACUUCAGCUCCGACAACAUCGUGUCUGAAAGCGGCGAGAAAUCCCCAAAUCUGGUCUACAAAGGCCAACUUCAGAACCGCCGUUGGAUCGCCGUCAAGAAGUUCACUAAGAUGGUUUGGCCUGAUCCUAAACAAUUCGCGGUAAUAGAAAAAACAUUUCUUGAUUAUUUUGUUUAUGUUCAUGGCUUUGUUUUUGAAAUCUGUGUUCCUGAAUUUUGUUACAGGAAGAAGCAUGGGGUGUUGGGAAAUUCAGACAGAACCGGUUGGCGAAUUUGAUUGGAUACUGUUGUGAUGGAGACGGUGGGAGAGAAUGUGUUGUGAAUCUUAACCGACGAUUUGUGUAUAGAACAGUGAAGUAAUUUAGGAUUUGUCUGUAUUGAGAUUUGCAGAGAAAUGGAGUUUGUGGAGAGAGAGAGAGAGAGAGAGAGAGAGAGAGAGAGUAGAGAGAGAGAGAGAGAGAGAGAGAGAGAGAGAGAGAGAGAGAGAGAGAGAGAGAGAGAGAGAGAGACGACACAAUAUGAAGUCUAUGAUAGGUAGAAGUAAUAGGGGUAGCAGAGACAUUAGAGAAAAUGUACAGUGUAUAACAGUGAUUUUUGGUAUAUCGCUAAUUAGGGGUGGGCACUUUACCCGAUAUCCGAAGUAGCACCCGAACCCGAUCCGAAAAACCCGAACCGAAAUCCGAACCGAAGUAGCAAAAUACCCGAACGGGUAUUGAAUUAGGAGAGAUUGGAUACCCGAAUCCGAAUGGAUAAUAUCCGAACCCGAAUGGAUAUCCGAAGAUAACCGAACAUAUGUAUAAUAACCUUAUAUUUCUAGUUUACAUCUCUUAUUUUAAUAAAUAUAUAUAUUAAUACUACACAUACUUUAAGUUCAUAUGAUAUACAUGCAAUUACUGAAAAAAUGAUUUGGUACUCACUUAAAAAACAUGUCAAGUUUUUUUAUUUCAAAAAUUAACAAAAAGUUACAUCCAAAUUUUAAAACAAUAACUAAAUUAAUGCAUUUUUAGUUUUAAAAUGUUAUGUCCAAAUCUAUUAACCAUUUAAUCUAUUAAAAAAAGUUAAGUAAAUUUAUAUUCUUAAAUACAAGAAAUUUAAAAAAUGAAAAAAUUUAAUUUUUUUUCAAAAUCUAAAUAUCUAAACCCGAUCCGAAAUAACCGAAACCGAACUAAAAAUACCCGAACCCGACCCGAAGUAUAGAAAUACCCGAACGGGUCCUACACCUCUAUACCGAAAUACCCAAAAAUCCGAAAUACCCGACCCGAACCCGAACGGAUACCUGAACGCCCACCCCUAUCGCUAAUUAUGCAUAAACGUGUAGGUAGGGAAUGCAAAAAAUUUUGAAUCUGAAAACAUAUAAUCUGCAAUUAUAAAAAAAUUUUCAUUUAUUUUAUUUUAUUUUAUUUAUUUUUGUUUGUUUAUUUAAUUUUAAACCAAGGGUAUUAGAGCUAUUUUACUCUUUAAUGAAUGUUAUUUUUGUGAUUUUCUCCUUCUAUUGCCAUUUUUGAAACAAAAACUGAAAAAGUACUAUUAUUGAUAAUUGCUCCUAAAAAAAUUUAUAUAAAUAAUUUUUUUUUUUUUGAAAAGAGUCUAAAUAAAACUUGUUUUAAUCAUUUAUCUCUUCAUUUUUUCAACUGAGAUUAUAUUAGUAGAGACGAAAAGAGAUUUUGAGUUAGUAAAAUGUCCUGUUCGAAAACGCGGCCAAGGCGCCCGAUUCCGCGGCGGAGAAGCAUUGGGCGUUCCCUUACCGUCUGGAUUAUAGGCUGUUCGGAAAAAAAAACUCGGAUCAUUGAGAAAAAUCAUCUUUUCUUUCAUUUUUAUGUAAUUUCACAUGUUUUUUUUUGUUCACAUAAUUUCACAUGUUAAUUGAUGAAUUUAUCGAUAAAAGAAGAAGAAAAUGAAUGACAAAAAACAAAAAAAAAGAAGAAGAAGAAAAUGAUGAAAACAAAUGAAAUCUGUAAAAAGAAUUGCUGCCGUCGACCAAAUUCUCAGAGAAAUAUUAGGUUAGAGAAGAAGACAAUGAGGAAAAUACGCUUUUACCCUUCAUUAGAAGACAAAACAAUAGUUAAAAGUUAAAACACACAAAAAUGAGAUGUCUUUGAAUCGAACCUGGGUGCAGAGUACAACUACCGACUCCUUUUCCAACUGUGACGGCAUAUUUAAUUAUUUGUUUUAUGAAAAUAUUAGUAUACUUCCCGUACUGUGUACGGAUAAAAGAUGAUAAAUGUUCCAAAUUCAUUAUAGAACACUGUUAAAAUAUCAAUUAUGAAUUAUUUGUUAAGAUAUUUUAUUUUCUAUUUACAAAAGGGAACUAGAUUUUGACAUGCGCUUUCAAAGCACGAGAUCGUUUCUUUUUAACAUUUCUUUUAAAUAAAUAAAUAUUUGUCUAAUCUAUAUUUUAAUAGUUUUUUUGUUUAUAGCCAAUUUUUUUUUAUAUUGUCUUAUUUUUAAUUUUUUAAUUAAUAUUAAAAUAAAAAUGUUUGUUUGUGAACUAAUUAAUUAGUUAAAAGAUUUUAAAAUGGUAACCUUUUACUCAAUAAAUUUAAUCAUAUUGUGAUGAUAUAUUUGGUAAGUUUAUUUAUUCAUAAUUUUAACUUAUCAAAGAAAUAUUAUAUGAAAAAUAUAAUAGACAUUAAAUGUUUCAAUCUACAUAUUUUUAAUUCAUGUAUAAUUUUUAAAUUAUAAUAACCGAAAUAUUUAAUAAUAAUUAUGUAUUUAAAUUGGCUUAUAGUUGGUUUUAAAAAAAAUUAGUGUUGGGCUUUGUUUUGGUUAGGAUGUGUUUUUUGGUCUGAUAAAAUGGGCCAGAAUUGCCCAAAGAGAGACAAAAAAAAUAUGUUACGUCAAAAAAUAUGUUUUUGUGGCCGUUUGCUUUAAAAAAAAACAGAAAGGGAAAGUAAAAAAAAAAAUUCUCGAUCAAAUUUUUCUUUGAGGAAUCGACAACACGCUAUUACUGAAAUUGAGAAUCGGUGAGAGAAUCAGUGGUUAGGUCUAUCGAUCUUGAUGGAUAGGGCGUGGUGAAGAUCGAAACUGUUGCUUGGUGAAUGUUUCUCAUGAAUCGGGUAUUAAUCAUAAGCCAACCUAAAAUUUCGAUCUUAUUUCCUUUCCUCUUGGCAUAAUAAUUGUUUUAUUCUGCAGAAUCACAGAUGAAGAAGAUUGAUUAGUGAUUUGCUUGGUCACAUAAGAAUUCCGAGCAAAAACAACUUCCAACUUUUUAGAUGGAUUAUAACAGAGGUAAAUCCUUUUAAUUGAUUAUGCAUCGUAACAUCUUUGACCUUCGUUACUUCCUUUCGCUGCUGUCCCAGAAGAAUUUCUUUGCUGUCUCUUAUGCUAAUGACUGAAUGAUAUAUGUUUAUGCUUGUACAAUCUAUGUUCCUCAAUUUGGAGUCUCUUAUGAUUGAUUCUAAUUUUUUAUUUCAGGCACUAACAAAUUAGUGUAUGAAUAAUUUGAUUAAUCUGUUUUAAAGCAGAAGCUGAAUGAUAUGUGUUUAGUUUGUUGUCUUAUUAAUGUUUACGACUCAUGUGCAGGUCUUGUAGUGACAGAGAGUACUGGUAGAGCUUUAUUAAGGCGACUCCAACUUCAAUCACGAAAACCUCAAUCCUGAGAAAAGAUAAGUUUUUAUUAGAUGUAACCUAAACGCAUACAAUUACUAUAAUAUAUUUGAUAUUUUGUAAAAUCUAAACGGUUAACUAAUGUUUUCUCCUAAGUUUACAGAACAGAGUCUAUAUGUUGUAUGAUGAUGAAAGACAUGAGGCAAAGUCAAACCAAACUUGCGCACCAGUAUGUAAUGACAUGUAUCCAACCAUUCUGCAAUGAUAUAAAAGUUACUAUUAAACAUUGUUUAGAAUUGUAGAAGCUAGGAAUGGAACUGACUAUCGGUAGUUAGGAUUGAAAGCGGAGUUUGAUUGAUUGAUUUGGUGUUAUUAUCUGUAGAUAGGAUAAUUAUAUUGUUUUCUGCAACGUAGAACUUUUCCUAAAGUUCAUUUUUCUUGUUAGAAAUAAUAGCUAUCAAAUAAUUUUAACAACAAACAUCAUAUGUUUGUUUCUGAGGCUUCACAUCCUCACCAAAAACUCACAUUGUUCUGUUAUGAAUCUUAAACAUUUGUUAAACGUAAAACAUAAAACCAAAGUCUGCAAAUAAAGCAUAUCAUCUGCAAUUUUUUAAAAACAGAACUGAAAGCAUAGAUUAUAGAUUAUCGAAACCUCUCUAAAGACAACAUUCUUUGUUUGGCAUUGAGGCUUGCCUUCGCUGUCAACAAUCAGCAUCUUCAAGCCUUUCUUAGAAGUCACUCUUGAAACAGCCAUAUAUAGUUGUCCGUGCGAAAAAAACGGUUUUGGUAGAAAUAUACCAACUUCAGACAAUGUUUGUCCUUGACUUUGGUGAAACUUCGAAAACACUGUCUUUGCAUGUCUCACACCCAAAUAUGAGUUGUGAUUCUUUACCAUUUAAUUUCUUAACUUUGGUUCCAGUUUUGAUCAUUCUUUUGUUGCAUGCUUUACAACCAAAGUAAUACCACGACCAAUCCAUAUCAAUGGCAUAGACUGUGCAUCUCACAAAGCAUCUAUCAACCUACAAUUAUAAUGCAUUUAACAAACUAUAAAUAAAAAAAGGUUCUAUAUAGCAUAAUAUAGGAGAGAUUUCCAAAUCACUUAAUAACAGCUUACUUGAGUUGAUGUUAUCAUUUCUUGGAUGUUCUUAGUGGGAAAAAGUAACCACUUAUCACGCUGUCCUCGCUUCCCUGACUGAUCAACUUGUUUGUUGUUGUCCUCUUGACUGUCCUCAUUACUUUGGAAUGAGGUUAGAGUUUUGUCAUCGUCAUUGAUCCUGGUUAUAAUACAAAGAUUAAAAUUAGUAGUAUGUGUGUGAUAACGAAGUUACAGAAUAUGGUCUUACAAUUCUUUGAAUGCUUCAGCUUCAGGUAUUGACGGGUUGAUCAUCAUUUGAGAAGCAUCAAAAGCGUUAGAGAUUUGCAGUUCUCCUAGUAGAUAAUUAAAAAAUACACUACAUGUAAGUGAAGUUUUGAUAAAGGAUUAGUACAUUAUGUGAAAUAACAUGGUACUGGCGUGAAUUAUGUACCUCUAAAUCCCCCAAGCUUUAGCAAACCUGAGCAGCAUAGUAACCAUUCCAACUUCUUGGUUAAUUGCAGAAUGGAGUUUCUCGGCUAAGUUGCCCAUAUGCAGCAUGGUAAACGCGAAUCACUACAAAAGGUUGUCAAGAUAUGGUUAGUUAUAUUAUCUUAACCGAAUGAAUUCAAUUUUUUUUGGAGUAAAUGACAGCUAACUUACUUGAUUUCGCUUAGGGUGAAUUCAAGUUUUUUUGGUUGCUUUCCCCCGGUACACUGAAUGUUUUCGACAUCACCACAAUCCAUAACUUGACCCAGCACAUCUGUAAAAAAAAAACUGUAAACGUUAGUAUAGAUUGUUACAUAAUAGAUAGUGGCUAAACCGAUUAUAUUUAUAUGCUUACCAAUUAAAAAAUUCUCAUCAAGUGUUCCAGACAAAACAGAUUGAGAGUCGGACAAAUUCAGAUACAGCUCGUCAACGUGAUUAGAUCGCGUAACGACCGUAUUUUGAUUGAAAACAAUUUUCCAGGUAUGAUCUGUGGUUCGAUAAGCUCCACCAGCAGGAGUAAUCUGGAAAUUCCGGAUGUAGCGCCAUGCUCCAACCGUAAGAAUCCUUCCCUUACUUUCAAUGUAAGUCCUUUUACAUGUUGCAUGAAUUUUUUGCCCCUAAAACAAAAGCCAUAUGAAUUUGUCAUAUUAGUAGCCAAUCCCAAAAUGUUAAAUAAGACAUAAUGGACUGAUAAAUACAGUAACGAAAGCUUACAGUCUCAUCAGCCAAGACGAAUUCCAUGGUCUCCACGGAUUGAAUGUAUUGUUUCCAAGCGUGUAGAACCUUUACAUGAACCAACCAAGUGUUUUUCCAUGGUUUCAAGUCGCCGAAGACGACAGAUUGUUCAUUAGUACCUCUCGAUGCUUGGAUUUGCAUCGAAGGUGCAAUAUUCUUAGUAGCCAUUGCUUUAUUUUUUGGUUUGUUAGAAGGUUUGGCUUUGAAUAGGAGACUGGUGAAGCGUAUUUAUAAUAUUGAUCGGAUCCAAAGCUAGGAAUUAGGAGAAACUUGGGGAGAAAGUUGGGGGAUUUCAAAUUGGAAAAUAGAAUCUGUCUAUUUUAUCCGAUGAGUUUUUAGAAAACUCAGUUACCAUGUCAAACAAACUCAUAUAUUUUCUGCGUGUUCCUCAAGAUUGGGGAUAUUCUCUUUAUUUGAUUUGAUAUUGAAAAUCUUAUAGUACGAAAUGGGCUGCUGUAAAUUCGAAAAUAGGCCUUUAUUUCAAAAACCAAAGUAUAGUAGUGGUGGGCUUAAAAUUUCCGUAGAAGCCUUAAAAACAAUUGAUAAGUUCUUGGAAUGUUUUGUAAUUAAUAGGAAAUUUCAGGGGUAGAUUCAUAAGAAGUAUUCUGCUUUAAUAGUAUAGAUUUGACUCUAGUUUCCCUAUUUAAACAUAUUUUAAAAACAUGUUGAUAUGGAAAAUAAACAAAGAAAUAUGCAUUUGUUAUUCAAGUAGCUUUUUAACAGAAUUCACAAAAAUAAUGAUAUUAUAUAGGUGGUAUCUUCAUAACUUUUAUUUUAUUAGUGCCAAUAAAUAAAUAAAUAUCAAUUAGAAAUAAACCAUGCAAAAAUACGGUACUUAAAACUUCACUAAAAAGGUUUAGUAAAAAAGAAUACUUAUACAUAUAAUUUCUUUUUUUGAUGAUAGUUUUUAAGUGUGUGAGAUUUGUUGCUCUUUUCACAUUUUUAAGAAUUGCAUCAGGCAAAUCAUUAUUUUUUUAGCUCCUGGAUACUAUUUAUUCAGUUAUGCAAAGACUACAAAAAGAUAAAUAGAGAUAUUUGAACAAUAUAUUAAGAGAUAGGAAAAUUUAGAUAUAUACAUUUUGCCUCAUCUCAGAUUAUAGAAUUUUGAAAAUAACUAUAUAACCUUAGACUGUCCAUGCCUUGAAGAGGUUUGAUAAAUAAUAGCCGUUGUCAGGUUGGCCGAAGUAUAGUUAACCAUUAUAUCAGAAAAGAAGCACUGCAUGCUCUUAUCAGGUUUGUGGAUUAGGGAAGAGAGACUGUAUUUUUUUAUAAAGAAAAAAAGCAUUAAACGUUCAUAGAAUUAUCUCAGACAAAUAUAAAUAGUUGAAUAGAGGUUAGUUAUUUUUAAAGUGCUCUUAAUGGUGAUUGUGGGUUGUGAAGAAAUAACCGAUGGAGAGGUGGACUAAGAAAAUAUUUACUUUUGGUAAAUAUUUAAAAUCAAACGUAAUGCAUGAGGUUUGGUCUUUUCCUUUUUGAUUUUAUUUGAUUUUGCUAAAUAUUUUUUUUCUUAAAUUAUGUGACAAAAUAUUAUUGGUUGAGUGACUUGUGUUUUAGUAUAUAAGGGAUAUUAUUUAUCCAUAUCAAACAGAGAAAGCCUAAAUAUUACGUCCAAAUUAAUCUCUGCUUAAUCUCCGAUUUUUCGGUAAGUCGCUAGGCCCGGAAUUGCCGCCCGAUUAGCGCCUAGCGUAGUUCUGAAUAGGGGGUAAAAUGUUAUUCCACUACAUUAAUUUUCAUAGGAUUUUCACGGCCGAUUAGAAUCAGACCAUAGUUCCUAGCUUCCAUCUUAGCCCUAGUUUUGGUUUGCUCGUAUACAGAGCGAGAGCCGUGCUUAUAGUUAUAACAAGGGAAAUUGUCACAAAUACCACAUUCAUAAUACUACUAGGAGUUAAUCCGCACUACGGACGGAGCUAUUUUGAUUUUCAAAUGUUAACUAUAUAACUAUUCUUUUGGACGUUGUAGUCUGAAAAACAACAAAAUUCUGAAUUAUAUGUUUGUGUGAAUAUAUAUUUUCUUAGAAAACCCCAGAAAACUAUACAUUUUUUAUAAAUAGAUGUUUGAUAUAGUUUUUCAUUUCUUAUAUUGUAUAUUUACUUAUGAUUUAGUUUUUCUUAUAUUGUAGGCAAUUCUCUCAAAUAGUCAUUUUUAAGUUUUUGUCACAAAAAUAGCCUUCAAUAAGAAAAAUGACCAAAAUAGCUCCAUUUUUUUUUUAAUUUGAAACCCUAUCAUCAAAACACCACUAUUAACUCUAAACCCUAAGUUUAGAUUAUUUUAUUGAAUUAAACAUUAAGAAAUGUUGUAUAUUUACUUAAUGUUUCUCUUUUUAUAUUACUCUAAACCCUAAUUCUAGAUAGAUGUUUAAUUCAAUAUUUUUUUUAUAUUGUAUAUUUACUUAAUGUUUUUUUUCGUAUAUAGUAUAUUUACUUAUUAUUUAUUUUUUCUUAUAUUUUAAAUUUACUUAUUAUAAUAUGUAACAUUACUAUUUCUUAUAUUGUACAUUUAUUUAUUAUUUAUUUUUUACUAUAUUAUAUAUAUAUUUACUUAUAAAAAUAUUUGUAAAUAAUAAAAAUGUAAAACAAUACAUUUUUCAGAUAGAUGUUUAAUGUAGUUUUUCAAUUUUUUUAUAUUGUAUAUUUACUUAUUAUUUUCUUAUAUUGUAUAUUCACUUAUUCUAUUUUUUUUGUUUUUAUAUCAAAUAGUAAUAUUACUUAUAGAUGUUUAAUGUAAUAUUUAUAUUUAUUAUUUAUUUUACUAUAUAUUUUCAAAUGUUUAAUGUAGUUUUUAGAUUUCUUAUAUGGUAUAUUUACCAAUUAUUUAUUUUAUUCUAAUAUUAUGAUAGAUGUUUAAUAUAAUAUUUUUAUUGGUUGUACUCUAUAUUUAUAUAUUAUUUAUUUUACUAUUUAUUUUUCAGAUAGAUGUUUAAUUUAGUGUUUCCAGUUCUGAUAUUGUAUGUUUACUUAUUAUAAUAUUACGAUAGAUUUUUAAUAUAAUAUUUUUAUUUCUUAUAUUAUAUAUUUACUUAUUAUUUAUUUUAAUAUAUAUUUUUCAUAGAGAUGUUUAAUUUAGUUUUUUCAUUUCUUAAUUGUAUUCUACUUAUUUUUAUUUUUAUUAUAUUGUAUAUUUAAUUAUUACAAUUCUCUUGCUUUAUAUCAAAUGAUAAUAUUAUGAUAGAUGUUUAAUGUAAUACUUAUAUUUCUUAUAUUGUAUGUUUGUUUUUGGGCAAAUCUCCAAAAUAGCAUCUUUCUAAGUUUAUAUCACAAAAAUAGCACUCAAAAACUAAAAUGACCAAAAUAGCAUUUUAUCUUUUGAAAAAUUUAAUUUUUUUUUAUUUUUCAAAAUUUGAAAUCUUAUCCCCAAAACCUCACUUCUCAACUCUAAACCCUAAACCCUAAAUUUUAAACCCUAAACCCCAAUCCUUAAGUGCUAUUUUUGUGACUUUUGGCCUUGAGUGCUAGUUUGGGAACAAAAACUUAAUUUAGUGCUAUUUUGGUCUUUUUCUCUUUGUUUUUCUUAUAUUGUAUAUUUACUUAUAAAAAUAUUUGGAAAUAAUAAAACUGUAAAAUUAUACACUUUCAGAUAGAUGUUUAAUGUAUUUUCCAUUUUUUAUAUUGUAUAUUUAUUUUUUCAUUGUAUAUUUACUUAUCUAAUUGUUUUUAUUUUUUUUUAUCAAAUUGUAGUAUUACGAUAGAUGUUUAAUAUAAUGUUUCUAUUUCUUAUUUUAUAUGUUAACUUAUUAUUUAUUAAAAUAAUAUUAACCAUCUGUUUAAUGUAUAUUUAAGCACAUGACACGUAGUAUAUUUAAACAUUAAGUAAUUAU
rnacentral:lncRNA from 1 species